CCACUCUGGAGAGUCUCCCCUAAAGGGGAGCGCCGAAGGUGUAAGGCCGGGCCGUUCAGGUCCCGACCGAUCUCUCAGGCAAAAGGACAGGGCA
rnacentral:ncRNA from 1 species